rnacentral:rRNA from 1 species
GUCUCCUUCGCUCCCUCAAGGCCUCAAAUCCCUCCGCCUCAAGAAGCCCAAAUCCCCCUUCUCUCUCGAAGCAUCUCCUAUCCAAAGAUCCAGAUGCGCUCACCACCGUCGUCCGCAUCCAAGCCGCCCCGCCGUUUCCCACUGCCGUCCGCAUCCAAGCCGCCCCGCCGUGUCCCCUACCAGACUGUCGUGUCCCACCACCUCCCGUCGCCCCACCUCCCCUCCGUCCCGCCGUGUCCCCUGCAUCACCACCGCCCGGCCGCCCCACGCCGCACUGCCCUGUCGUGCCCCCUCUUCCUCCCCUCGUAUACCCCCAGCAUGGUCGUGACGGCCGCGCUGACCAUGGCCAUGACAGCAAGGAUGAUGGCGACGCGUGACCCAUGGUGACCUUACCCCGGCUGAUAGUUUGGAUGACCACCGGAUCUACCUGACAUCGUAUCCCCUCCUCUCCAACAGGAACAUGUUCUUACCGGUGGUCAGGUCUGAUGGUUGAUGCAUAAUAGCAUCUAAUUCAGGCUCUUGCAUGAAGGAGCUUCUUGAGAUUUUGGCAACUAAAAAAGGAGUGCCUAUCAACGAAACCCCCCCAUCUCCAGUUCCACCUUCUGCUUGUUCACCAUCUCUUCCAGAUGUUGGAAACAAGCCAAGAACCACCAGCUUUAUGUGCUCAGCAACAUAUAGAUGUAAGUUCUCUACCCAAUACCCAUGAAUUCUUGCGUUGCUGGUGCUUUCUACCCAAUACCCAUGACUGAUGGCUGCUGGGCUGCCUGCUGUUCCCAGUCAAUUAGCAAUUUCAGAAUUAAAUUAAUUGGGCACACAAUUAAUUUAGUGCAAAUCAUUAUUGUAUGUGUCUUUCUAGUUCGUCUAGUGAUAAUAAUCUGGGACCGAUUCGGUCUAGCCUAGCACAUAUAUUUCAGGAAAGUAAGUAUCACAGACUCAGCGUAGCCUAGCACAUAUCUUUUAGGAAUGUGAGUAUCACAGAUUCAGUGUAGCCUACCACAUAUCUUUUAGAUCAAGGUUAGGUUUUAGUGUUCUUUACUGGGCUGUGCUCACGACUCACAAAGCAGUAUCAUGUGUUGUGCAAGCUGCCGAAACACUAGGAGAGGUACAUACUCAGCGUACUGCAAUAUUUAGAGCAUUCAGUCAUGAAUCAAAAUCCUUUUUAUGGUAGGGAUGAAUCAAAAUCUUAGUCUAAUAUUAUGUCAAACUAUCCUAAGCAUGGUAAUUAACGUUUGUCAAUUUCGUUCCUGGUCCAGAUGAUUUACACAGCACAAAAACAUCCAUGUACAUAGGCAGGUUGUCCCAGCAAGCAAAAAUUUCACUACACACCGCUUUUAGUAAUUAUCACUAAAGCUUUGUUUCGUGCUUUGAUAUGCGAGUUUGAUAGGAGCAGCAAUGCUUUGGUGAUAAAACUUUUGUUCCGUCAAAACUGAAAAUAUUAAUCUGUCCUGUGAAAUGAUAAUAUAUAUUAAUCAAUUGUGGGUAUUUUGGCAAUUCUAUGAUGUUGUUGUACAUAGGCAGGUUGUCCCAGCAAGCAAAAAUUUCACUACACACCGCUUUUAGUAAUUAUCACUAAAGCUUUGUUUCGUGCUUUGAUAUGCGAGUUUGAUAGGAGCAGCAAUGCUUUGGUGAUAAAACUUUUGUUCCGUCAAAACUGAAAAUAUUAAUCUGUCCUGUGAAAUGAUAAUAUAUACUCCCUCCGUAAACUAAUAUAAGAGCGUUUAGAAUACUAAAAUAGUGAUCUAAAUGUUCUUAUAUUAGUUUACAGAGGGAGUAUUAAUCAAUUGUGGGUAUUUUGGCAAUUCUAUGAUGUUGUUUAUUGUCCUACUUUUUUUCUAAAGGUAUAGCGUGAUGUAUACAUGCAGACUUUGUCAAAAAAACGUGCAAGAACAUUUUAGUAGAGCUUGGAUGUAGAUGAGGACAUGAGGUAGUGUUUCAAAAGCUUCAUCACGGCACAGAUAUUGAUGUACUUCUGAAAAUGUACUUGUUUGAAUUAUAUGUAUCAUAUUUUGUUGACUACACUUUCUAGUAUCUUCGUACAACAGUUAAAUAAAUCUACUGGAAAUCUAUAGUGGACGGUAUGCUACAAAAAUGGUGAGAAAUGAAUUUCUUUCUCGGUAAGUAACUUUGUUUUCCAGUGUGCAGCCAGGCUAUUGGGUUUGGAGGGUUGAUUCAACUUAUAGAAGGGGCCGUAUGCACCAAAGAGUAGUAGAGAUGGAGAUGCUCGUGGGGUCUGCGAAGCUAUGGAGGCAGGUGAAGGUGUCAUAUGCAUGUUUGCAUCUUCUCUUCUCAUGAAUCUUAUAUGGAGAAAUAUAAUUCAGGAAACAACUAUGUAAGUGGAGCAAUAUCAGUUUUCACUAAAUAUGAUCCACCAACUAUAUCAAGGCACUGUAAUUUGAACCAUUCAAAUUAUGUUAAAUGUGGUAAAUAGCCGAAUUUUCUUGAAAAACAUUGCCGUUAUUUUCUAAAACAUUGCCGAGCGUGGCAACGCGCCCCUUUAUGUCCUACUAUCUAAAAUCUUCUUACGAGUACUUUGGUUAGGUACUAGCAAGCAUGCGCGUCCACACACGCACGUACAACACAACACACAUGCUCUGCUCCUGAUUUGUCAAUAGUAUGCUGAUGCUUUGCUUUGAUCUGCUCUACCACUCUGAAAUUUUUGCAAUGGGGGCCACUUACUUUGCAUGUGCUUGCUCAUGCAGUGACCUGAUUGAUAGUUGUCUCUCUUCAACUAAUGUCCAGAUACAACAAGUUAGUCUUGAUUUGUACAGGAGCCAAGUAGAAUUGUCUGAACUCUUAUUUUGGGUUUUUACUUACCACACAUCUGCCACGUGGUGACUGUCAGAACUCUAAAUGCAAUAGCGCAACAGUUUACUACUAUGUGAGAUUAAAUGGGAUUAUGUGGGAAGUAGACGCAACAAUGUUGAUUGUGGGUUGCCUAUGAACACCCACAUAACAGAUGCGUGCAGAUGUGGGCAUCCUGCUAUUAGUCCCGCUUGUAGCUUGAAUGUGUAUCCCUAACAAAGUGAAGGGUCAUGACAAUCUUCCUGAACUAUGACCAUGUGUAUCCAUUGACCUAUUUUUCAUGCAAAUUCUACUAUCAUUAUAUAGGUUGCUUCCAAAGUAGUUUCAAAGACUUCAACAUAUCCAAACAAGUGGAAUGUUGCAUAUGCUACUAUUCGGUGCACUGAUCCAGAAACUAGGGCUGGUGAUAUUGAGUUAGGUACCGACUUUGCAUGUGUGUGCAUAGAUGAAACUAUUCUGGAUAAUGAGGUGUUGGGAAAGUUGAAGUUUCUGAUUGGUGAUGCUUUUUCUUGAGGAUACUUAAUCGCCUCGCCUCGAGCUUUUAUUAAAAAGAAGGAUAAUUGAGUUGCAGCUGAAUUCUUUGGUUGGAUCAAGAAGCAAAUAAAAUUAGAGAAAUGUACUUUGCAAUAACCGUAGUUUCUGUUGAUAGAUGAAAAAAAAUGUAAUAUCAUACACGAGAUCUUUUUCUUUGUCAGCCUCUUACAGAAAUGUAGGGAAAGGCUGCGUACUAUAGACCCAAAGUGGUCGGACCCUUCCCUGGACCCUGCGCAAGCGGGAGCUACAUGCACCAGGUUGCCCUUUUAGAAUUGAUGCAAAUGCUAUGUUGUAAUAUUAUCUGGAGAUAUGUUCUUUGUAGUCAAAUUAAUAUGAAUGAUAUGUUGCACCAAUAAUAUUGGUAUUUGUUUAUUGUAAUGCAUAUGUAUCCAAC